CAAUAGCGUAUAUUAAAGUUGUUGCGGUAAAAGCUCGUAGUUGGAUUUCUGUUGAGAACGACCGGUCCACACAACGUGUGCGCAUCUGGUUCGGUCUCGGCAUCCUCUCGAAAGACGACUCUGCGCUUGAUUGCGUGGAUCGGAUUCCGGGACUUUUACUUGAGGAAAUUAGAGUGUUCACGGCAGGCUAUCGCCAGGAUACAUUAGCAUGGAAUAAUACUAUAGGAUCUCGGUUCUAUUUUGUUGGUUUCUAGAAUUGAGAUAAUGAUUAAUAGGGACAAUUGGGGCGAUUAGUAUCAACACGUCAGAGGUGGAAUUCUUGGAUUGUGUUGCGACUAACUACUGCGAAAGCAUUUUGCCAAGGAUGUUUUUCAUUGAUCAAGAACGAAAGUUGGGGGAUCGAAGACGAUUAGAU
rnacentral:rRNA from 1 species